CUUGGGAUAUCUUUUAGCAUUGAGGAUCUGUGUGCAUGGCCUUAUUUACAAUCAAAAAUUACAGGAAGCUCAUUUAGAAGCUUUGAUAUGAACAAGGUACUUGAAUUUGGAGCAUUAUUAGCAUCAGGAGGACAGGAAUAUGAUAUUGGAAAUGAUAAUAU